rnacentral:tRNA from 1 species
GGGCCAGUGGCUCAGUUGGGAGAGCGCCUCAAUGGCAUUGAGGAGGCCGGGGGUUCGAAUCCCCCCUGGUCCA